UGGGGAAUAUUGCACAAUGGGCGAAAGCCUGAUGCAGCGACGCCGCGUGAGUGAUGACGGCCUUCGGGUUGUAAACCUCCUUCAGCAGGGACGAAGCGCAAGUGACGGUACCUGCAGAAGAAGCACCGGCUAACUACGUGCCAGCAGCCGCGGUAAUACGUAGGGUGCAAGCGUUGUCCGGAAUUACUGGGCGUAAAGAGUUCGUAGGCGGUUUGUCGCGUCGUUUGUGAAAACCAGCAGCUCAACUGCUGGCUUGCAGGCGAUACGGGCAGACUUGAGUGCUGCAGGGGAGACUGGAAGUCCUGGUGUAGCGGUGAAAUGCGCGGAUAUCAGGAGGAACACCGGUGGCGAAGGCGGGUCUCUGGGCAGUAACUGACGCUGAGGAACGAAAGCGUGGGUAGCGAGCAGG
rnacentral:rRNA from 1 species